GACGAACGCUGGCGGCGCGCUUAACACAUGCAAGUCGAGCGAGAACCGGUCCUUCGGGACCGGGGAAAGCGGCGAACGGGUGAGUAACACGUGGGUAAUCUGCCCUCGGUUUCGGGAUAGCCCGGGGAAACCCGGAUUAAUACCGAAUGGCCCUUUCGGUCUUCGGAUUGAAAGGAAAAGGUAGCUUCGGCCUCCGACCGAGGAUGAGCCCGCGGCGGAUUAGCUCGUUGGUGGGGUAACGGCCUACCAAGGCGACGAUCCGUAGCUGGUCUGAGAGGACGAGCAGCCACACUGGGACUGAGACACGGCCCAGACUCCUACGGGAGGCAGCAGUGGGGAAUCUUGCGCAAUGGGCGAGAGCCUGACGCAGCGACGCCGCGGGCGGGAAGAAGGCCUUCGGGUUGUAAACCGCUUUCAGGUGGGACGAAGCCACUCGGGUGAAUAGCCCAGAGGGUGACGGUACCUCCAGAAGAAGUCCCGGCUAACUACGUGCCAGCCGCCGCGGUAA
rnacentral:rRNA from 1 species